GCGGAAGUAUGAUGGUUUCACUGGAUUUAAAUAGUGUGAAGAUGGAAGACGUGUAGUUUGAGUCAGGCCCCGUUCCCGAACCUCAGAUAAUUGCAUUAUCUCCAUUUACUAAUUAAAUCGACUACAAAUAGAAUUAACUCACAGUGUCCCACAGGAGGACAUGAGGUGCAGUAGUUUGAUAUAGUAGGCCACCCGCCUGUACUGUUUAAUAACAUGGAGUUUGACAUGUGUGUUUGCUGACCGGGACGCUCAAACUGUACAACAAACGCACCUCCUAUUUGACCCAGUUGUGUUGUGGCGGCCCUCCGGUGUGGGAAGCCAGGGCGGCUCGGUUAACGCACACCGCGGGAGAAGGGCCACGCAGCGGAGAACACCGCCGUGCUGCUGGCUUUCAGGACACGUAUUUCUUCAACGAAACAUGUCUCCAACGAAAUGAACACCAAAGUGACGAGAUGGCCGCUCGGUGGCAAUAAAUCCUGAAAGAAUUCCCGGACUGACAAAGUGCGCAGCGGUGUUUGUGCGUCAAGAAGGCCACCAACUGAGCGGGUGUUUCCAGCAGCUCUGGAGUGGACGACACACACACGUCACUCCAGUCAUAAGGUUUUGAUGGCACCUUGACAGGCGUUUUGGGAGGAGGAACACAAGGUGCAUGUUUUCAAGUGAUCAAACAUGCUACAGGACUGGAUACAGAUGCAAGACAGAGAAUGGAUGAAGGAGAAAACGACCAGAGGAAAAGAAGAGCUCAGCUAAUUGGACAUAGACUAACAGAAGAAAAGAAUGUGAAGGAAGGACGCACUUUGAUUAACUUAAUUACUAGAAACUGUAAGAAGGGAUAGGACAGAAAGAUGAAAGAGGGUAAAGAAAAACCAAGCAGACACAGAUAUGCGGCAAAUGUUCAACCCAUUUCCAGCAGCUGCAACUUGUGAAGGUACUUGCUCAGGUUUUAGAAAAGGGUUAGAAGUUUGAAAGGUCCAGGAUGCUGGGCAGUGGCUGGAAAUUGUGUAUUUACUGUUUGCUCCUUGCAUCUCAUAAAAGGGCUAGCACACAUUUGUACUGGGAAUAACUGGGAGCUGGACAACACAGUCUUGGAACUACAGACUUCCCUGUUUGACAGUUUAAUGCAUUAACAAAAGGUGGCAGCCGUUGUAGCACCACUGGACAAAAGCAUAAAACUUACCAUGUUUACACUGUAAGCAUAGCGUGUGCAGCACAUAACAUCACAGGGGGCUCAUGCUCGUGUCUAUACUGGGCAUGUGUUCAUUCAUGCGUAGGAAGCGCCUGGUGUACAAAAACACAGAGGAGCCUACAGAAACACUUCAGAAAAAGGAAGACUAUAGUCCAAAACGCAGACAAAUAAUAGACCAUGAGGGAAUUACAAAUUACUGGCUACAAGUAUAUGUACACUAUGUCUCAAACAUGACUGACUGAGUCCGCUCCAAUAUGGGACUGUGUUUCUAAAUAAGGAUCAGAAUUGGAUCGGCUUUAUUCUGGCUGAUAACAAUCCUGUGAAAUAUGCCCAGAUUGGUGCGGAUACUGAUUUGCACAGUGGGAUCCAGCAGGAUGUCUGAGUCCCUACAAUGUAUGGAUGAAGUGAUACUGGUACCGGCAUCGUUGCUGAUACUGCCCUCUAGUACUAAAGUCGUCUAAUACUACACAUCGACCUAUAAAGGCACACAUUACUUCAACUUCAGUGAGGAUUUUCAGUGGUUUGCAGAUAUUUUUAGAUGAGUGACGAUGACAAAAGUAAAGCUGACUGCAAACUGCUCUCUAUCUGUCAAGAGUGUAGUAAAGAAAUACAUCUCCACUUGGUUGGUUCAGUCCCCACAUUGUGAGUAAUGCCAGGUACACACACAUCUAGAUACAUUAGAUAACAUAAGACAGAAAGAGACAGAGGGGGAAACGGUGAGCUGAUCAGUUCUUCACUAAUGGAGUUCUGCAGAGUCAGAGCUGUUUGGUCUCCUAAUUGACUUCAUGUCAUCUGCAUAUCAUUAGCAUUCUGUUACCAUGGGCAACAAUAUGCAGGGGAAUCUGGCAUAUAUAUAUGUGUGUGUUGUUGAGUGCACGCGCUUGUGUGCAGCUGGGAUGAGUGCAGUGUAAAUGCUUUUAGAUAGACCCAUUAAUCAUGUGCUUAACCUCAUCAGAAGCUACAGACACACACACACACCCACAUUCAAGCACACAGACAUAAGCUAGAUGAGAGGCAUUGGGAGUCGUACAGAAAACGACAAACCGACUGAGGAAAAGAGAUGGAGAAAAAAGAGAGAAGCAUUAUUGACAGCUGUCAGUAAGGGUGAAUGUAGCUUACUAGAGAGUUAGUGUACCACUCUGUUUAUUAAAUCUCCAGCUCUUCCUUGGACUCUGAACCCCAGAGUCAUCCACUGGAUAAGUUUGAUCUGUACCUCAUGGUUAAUAGAAUAAACACCACAAAACUAAAUUUGUUUAAGCUAAACCUUAUGAUGAAUGAAAAUGGUAAUUAAAUAAGAAUGACGAAUAUACUGGAAUUAUAAAGCCAUAAACUCCACAGCAGUUAACUUUUGCAACCUUUUUUGCAUCUCUAAGGUUUUUAUUGUUUUGGAGGCUGGCAUGUGUCAUGGAGCUAUAA